UGGUUGUAGUUUCCUUUGAUCAUGAAGAGUUGAGCAAAAUGAUGCUUACAGUACAACACUCCAUCAAGAGCAGCAUAUGAAGAGUGUGUUAAAUGGCAUCCACCAUGAGCACAUCUAAAGCAAUUCUUAUGGUAACAUUCCCCCUCAAGAGUCACCUUUUUUUUUUAUUUAGGAACCAAAAAAAAGCUUUUGAUCAGUCAACAAAUCUAGUAACAUUCUACCUGUAUAUAUAUAUAUAUAUAAUUUUUUAGAGAGAAAAAUGAAGAACUAUAGACCUUCUCCAACGGAUAAACCGUUUUCGAGCAGGCCGCACAUUUGUCUUGAGUUCCAGAGAACAUGGAGGACAGUUUGCUAGGAGCUCUUGACUGCUACACGUUUCG
rnacentral:lncRNA from 1 species